rnacentral:tRNA from 1 species
UGAGAUAUAGCUCAGUGGUAGGGUGCUAGCCUAAUGUGUUAGGAAGCAUCUCUGGAUUCCAUCCCUGGUAUCGCAA